GCAAAUUGUCUUACAAGGUGGCCCCAUGGCCAAAGUAUGACAUUAUGUGUUCAGAGUCCCUUCGUCGCAAUUUGGUACGCCAGGUUAGGUGAGGCACCGGGUGCUUGUCUCGCUCCUAGGUUCGGGGCGUGACAGAUUUCGCGGCUAUUUCUGCGAUCGCAUAACCGUUUCGCUGGCCGCACUUUGGUUGCAAAGUCAUCCUUAGACUUUUACGAAUAAAGGUUCAGACUUUUUGGAUUGAAUAGUGCUUGGUGAUUUAAAGGAAAAUGUUGGGCAGAAGUAGGCAUUUCUGUGCCCCGUUCUGCGGCCGCAGAACCUCUAUACGGACCGUAGAAUGGUUGCAAAGUGAGGCAGUUUUCUGUGAUAUUUUUGAUGUCUAUUUCGCGGCUAUUUUUGCGAUCGCAUAACCGUUUCGCGGGCCACACUUUGGUCGCACAGUCUUCCUUAGUCUUUUAUGAAGGGAGGUUCGGACUUUUUGGAUUGAAUAGUGCCUGGUGAUUUAAAGGAAAAUGUUGGGCAGAAGUAGGCAUUUUUGUGC
rnacentral:lncRNA from 1 species